rnacentral:lncRNA from 1 species
AACCAGGAGCUCUCGCAGUGUGGAGGGAAGGAAAGCCGAGAGUCUCCCACCAUCAUCACCUUCGUGGUUUCAAGAGGAGAGUCGUGUCCCAGUUCCAGACGAAGACACCAUCCUAAUACCAUCUAGUUAGAAGAGAGGUGUCAGCUUCCCUACCCUGAGGUCCAAGAAGCCCAUUCAGACUCAUCUGCUCUAAAGAGAAAUGGAAAUGUUUGGGAUUCUGGUGUCGUGCACCCUUGACCUGCUCUGUCACUAAAUCAUGGGCUUUACAGUCCUCCACAGGCUGCUGAGGACUCUCAGUUCAUAUGUAAACAGGAAGAGAUAGCAUCUAUCUGGAAGACGUGACCAAAGAGGACAGUUGAAAAUGGCAAAGCUCUACCAGAAGAGAUAGCGUGGUUUCUUUCCACACUGUUGUGUGGUGUUUGGAGCACCUCCUGAGAAUCUAUGGUGUCCACUGAGGUGGGCCUUCUUGCCAUUGCUGCUCUGGGUCCCAGCACUUCUUUUUUUUCUACUUCUGAAUAGUCAGGACUGCUAUACCCCAGCAUCCAGUCAAGGUGGAUACAUAAGCUGGGCCAAUGUGCCACAAUUAGAAAGCACAGAACUCUAAGUCAAGUCCUAAAUCAUGUUAGCUCAUCUCUUUGCCCAGAUCCCCUUCAGCCUCAGUUUCCUCAGCCAUGAAAGAAUGUGACAAUUGUUAUAACUUCCUUGAAAGGCUACUGAGAAGCCUGAGAUUGAGUGAGUGCAUUUUAUAAGCUGUAAAGCGCUGUGCAAAUGUUAGCUAUUGAUAUUUCUCACUCUAGUGGAUCACAGAGCUUGCCAGCAAAAGUAAAUUACCAAAAAAAGGAGGAAAAAAAAUCUUCCCACACAUAAUUAUCUCAGCGUUAAACACUAGAGAGAACUCAGGCAGGUGUGUGGGGUGUAAGGUCGUCCCUCUCGGUGACUCUCAGGUUUAGUCAUACCUGCUAAAAUAAAUGCAGCAACCACUUGAGGUGAAAAGGACCCCGAGAGGAAAAGGAGCUUGUGCGUACAGAGUAAGAACACUAAGAAGGAGAGAGAUUGCUCCACCAGCCAUCAUCCUGUAAUGACUAACAGGCGGU